rnacentral:rRNA from 1 species
GACGAACGCUGGCGGCGUGCUUAACACAUGCAAGUCGAACGGAAAGGCCCUUCGGGGUACUCGAGUGGCGAACGGGUGAGUAACACGCGGGUGAUCUGCCCUGCACUUUGGGAUAAGCCUGGGAAACUGGGUCUAAUACCGAAUAGGAUCAUGGCCUUCAUGGGUUGUGGUGGCAAGCUUUUGCGGUGUGGGAUGGGGCCGCGGCCUAUGAGCUUGUUGGUGGGGUACUGGCCUACCAACGCGACGACGGGUAGCCGGCCUGAGAGGGUGACCGGCCACACUGGGACUGAGAUACGGCCCAGACUCCUACGGGAGGCAGCAGUGGGGAAUAUUGCACAAUGGGCGCAAGCCUGAUGCAGCGACGCCGCGUGAGGGAUGACGGCCUUCGGGUUGUAAACCUCUUUCAGCACAGACGAAGCGCAAGUGACGGUAUGUGCAGAAGAGGGACCGGCCAACUACGUGCCAGCCGCCGCCGUAAAAC